GUGCCCGCUUCGGCAGCACAUACACUAAAAUUGGAACAAUACAGAGAUUAGCAUGGCCCCUGAGCAAGGAUGACACGCACAUUCGUGAAGCGUUCCAUAUUUUU
rnacentral:snRNA from 1 species